AUUGAACGCUGGCGGCAGGCUUAACACAUGCAAGUCGAGCGAGCGGCGGACGGGUGUGUAAUGUAUGGGGAUCUGCCUGAUGGAGGGGGAUAAAUACUGGAAACGAUAGAUAAUACCGCAUACCAUCAGAUGAGCCCAUAUGGGAUUAGAUAGUAGGUAAGGUAAUGGCUUACCUAGGCCACGAUCCCUAGCUGGUCUGAGAGGCUGACCACUCACACUGGGACUGGGACACGGCCCAGACCCCUCCGGGAGGCAGCAGUGGGGAAUAUUGCACAAUGGGCGCAAGCCUGAUGCAGCCAUGCCGCGUGUGUGAAGAAGGCCUUCGGGUUGUAAAGUACUUUCAGUCGGGAGGCGUUACCCACAGAAGAAGCACCGGCUAACUCCGUGCCAGCAGCCGCGGUAAUAC
rnacentral:rRNA from 1 species